rnacentral:rRNA from 1 species
UACGUAGGGUGCAAGCGUUGUCCGGAAUUAUUGGGCGUAAAGAGCUCGUAGGCGGCUUGUCGCGUCGGCUGUGAAAACCUGGGGCUCAACCCUGGACCUGCAUUCGAUACGGGCAGACUAGAAUUCGGUAGGGGAGACUGGAAUUCCUGGUGUAGCGGUGAAAUGCGCAGAUAUCAGGAGGAACACCGGUGGCGAAGGCGGGUCUCUGGGCCGAUAUUGACGCUGAGGAGCGAAAGCGUGGGGAGCGAACAGG